AGUGAACGCUGGCGGUAGGCCUAACACAUGCAAGUCGAACGGAAGCACAGUAAGAGCUUGCUCUUACGGGUGGCGAGUGGCGGACGGGUGAGGAAUACAUCGGAAUCUACUUUUUCGUGGGGGAUAACGUAGGGAAACUUACGCUAAUACCGCAUACGACCUACGGGUGAAAGCAGGGGAUCUUCGGACCUUGCGCGAUUGAAUGAGCCGAUGUCGGAUUAGCUAGUUGGCGGGGUAAAGGCCCACCAAGGCGACGAUCCGUAGCUGGUCUGAGAGGAUGAUCAGCCACACUGGAACUGAGACACGGUCUAGACUCCUACGGGAGGCAGCAGUGGGGAAUAUUGGGCAAUGGGCGCAAGCCUGAUCCAGCCAUACCGCGUGGGUGAAGAAGGCCUUCGGGUUGUAAAGCCCUUUUGUUGGGAAAGAAAAGCAGCAUGUUAAUACCCCGCUGUUCUGACGGUACCCAAAGAAUAAGCACCGGCUAACUUCGUG
rnacentral:rRNA from 1 species